GACGAACGCUGGCGGCGUGCUUAACACAUGCAAGUCGAACGGAAAGGCCCGGCUUUUGUGGGGUGCUCGAGUGGCGAACGGGUGAGUAACACGUGAGUAACCUGCCCUUGACUUUGGGAUAACUUCAGGAAACUGGGGCUAAUACCGGAUAGGAUCUCCUGCUGCAUGGUGGGGGUUGGAAAGUUUCGGCGGUUGGGGAUGGACUCGCGGCUUAUCAGCUUGUUUGUGGGGUAGUGUCUUACCAAGGCUUUGACGGGUAGCCGGCCUGAGAGGGUGACCGGCCACCUUGGGACUGCGAUACGGACCAGACUCGUAUGGGAGGCAGCAGUGGGGAAUAUUGCACAAUAGGGGGACGCCUGAUGUAGAAACGCUGCGUGCGGGAUGACGGCUUUCGGGUUGUAAACCGAUUUCGCCUGUGACGAAGCGUGAGUGACGGUAAUGGGUAAAGAAGCACCGGCUAACUACGUG
rnacentral:rRNA from 1 species